UAAGCGGAGGAAAAGAAACUANCANNGAUUCCCCUAGUAACUGCGAGUGAAGCGGGAAAAGCUCAAAUUUAAAAUCUGGUGGCCUCUGNUCAUCCGAGUUGUAAUUUAGAGAAGCGUCUUCCGCGCUGGACCGUGCACAAGUCUCCUGGAAUGGAGCGUCAUAGAGGGUGAGAAUCCCGUCUUUGGCACGGAUCCCGGGGCUUUUGUGAUGCGCUCUCGAAGAGUCGAGUUGUUUGGGAAUGCAGCUCAAAAUGGGUGGUGAACUCCAUCUAAAGCUAAAUAUUGGCGAGAGACCGAUAGCGAACAAGUACCGUGAGGGAAAGAUGAAAAGCACUUUGGAAAGAGAGUGAAACAGUACGUGAAAUUGUUGAAAGGGAAACGCUUGAAGUCAGUCGCGUCGUCCGAGACUCAGCCUCGCCUCGGCUUGGUGUACUUCUCGACCGACGGGUCAGCAUCAAUUUCGCCCCUUGGAUAAUGGCGUGGGAAA
rnacentral:rRNA from 1 species